rnacentral:tRNA from 1 species
GCCGGGGUGGUGAAAUUGGUAGACGCGCUGGACUCAAAAUCCAGUGGGUGAAUAACCCGUGUCGGUUCGAUUCCGACCCUCGGUA